AUUUCAAUAGCUUAAUUGGUUUAAGCGUUCGACUGUUAAUCGAAAGAUUCAAGGUUCAAAUCCUUGUUGAAAAG
rnacentral:tRNA from 1 species